rnacentral:rRNA from 1 species
AACGGGUGAGUAACACGUGGGUAACCUGCCCAGAAGUAGGGGAUAACACCUGGAAACAGAUGCUAAUACCGUAUAACAGAGAAAACCGCAUGGUUUUCUUUUAAAAGAUGGCUCUGCUAUCACUUCUGGAUGGACCCGCGGCGUAUUAGCUAGUUGGUGAGGUAAAGGCUCACCAAGGCAGUGAUACGUAGCCGACCUGAGAGGGUAAUCGGCCACAUUGGGACUGAGACACGGCCCAGACUCCUACGGGAGGCAGCAGUAGGGAAUCUUCCACAAUGGACGCAAGUCUGAUGGAGCAACGCCGCGUGAGUGAAGAAGGGUUUCGGCUCGUAAAGCUCUGUUGUUAAAGAAGAACGUGGGUAAGAGUAACUGUUUACCCAGUGACGGUAUUUAACCAGAAAGCCACGGCUAACUACGUGCCAGCAGCCGCGGUAAUACGUAGGUGGCAAGCGUUAUCCGGAUUUAUUGGGCGUAAAGCGAGCGCAGGCGGUCUUUUAAGUCUAAUGUGAAAGCCUUCGGCUCAACCGAAGAAGUGCAUUGGAAACUGGGAGACUUGAGUGCAGAAGAGGACAGUGGAACUCCAUGUGUAGCGGUGAAAUGCGUAGAUAUAUGGAAGAACACCAGUGGCGAAGGCGGCUGUCUGGUCUGCAACUGACGCUGAGGCUCGAAAGCAUGGGUAGCGAACAGGAUUAGAUACCCUGGUAGUCCAUGCCGUAAACGAUGAUUACUAAGUGUUGGAGGGUUUCCGCCCUUCAGUGCUGCAGCUAACGCAUUAAGUAAUCCGCCUGGGGAGUACGACCGCAAGGUUGAAACUCAAAAGAAUUGACGGGGGCCCGCACAAGCGGUGGAGCAUGUGGUUUAAUUCGAAGCUACGCGAAGAACCUUACCAGGUCUUGACAUCUUCUGACAGUCUAAGAGAUUAGAGGUUCCCUUCGGGGACAGAAUGACAGGUGGUGCAUGGUUGUCGUCAGCUCGUGUCGUGAGAUGUUGGGUUAAGUCCCGCAACGAGCGCAACCCUUAUUACUAGUUGCCAGCAUUAAGUUGGGCACUCUAGUGAGACUGCCGGUGACAAACCGGAGGAAGGUGGGGACGACG